UAAAUGAAUAAUAGGUUCUUUUGAAACCUAUAUAUUGGACAUUUUUUUUAAAGUUAAUGUUUGUGGUAGAAAUUUCAUCUCUUUUUGUAUCAAUGAAAAAAAUAUAAUAUACAUUAUACAGGGUUUGUAAAAUUAAUUUACUGGGAAUCACGAUUAGGAAAAAAAUACUUGUACCUAGACUAAACAGUUAGUUGAUUGUAUGAAAACUUGACAUGACAAAGAUCGGAAGAUGAGUAAGUGAGAUAAAUAAGGAUAAAAAAGUACUGGAAAAUUGGCAUUACUGUAGGGUGAGAGCUUUGAGCGCCACAAUCGAACAUUGUCAUCUCGACAGAUGCCAAACAAAAUCCCUGGUUUUAAAUAAGUUAUAAUGCUGAUUCGUAUAGUUGAUCUCGAAAAGAAUAUUGUAUUUUUAUCUGCGAUCGAUUGGCCUAAGAUUUCAAAACUCAAUGAUGUCAGUUAGAGGAUCACAAGGACACAACAAUCACGGUGGCGUAUAAUACGGGAAGAAGUGAAUUGAUGCGUAAUAUUGAUUAUACAAUAAUCUAAUUUAAUUGCAGUCUUAUUACUUGCAAAAGGUAUGAAGAAGUUGUGAACUCGGUCCAAAGGGUUACUCAUAAUAUAGCUGGUAAGACACAAACCUAGAGUAAUAGAAGAUUUAAUAAUGGAGGAACUUGGGAUGGGCUUAAAGAGCCCCGGUAUGACGUGUUGAGUUAUCGAUUAUCAGUUGGAGAUAUAGGAUUCUUGGGAUCUAUAGUUACACAGCGGAACUGACUAAAUCAUAUUAUGUAAGU